rnacentral:rRNA from 1 species
GAUGAACGCUGGCGGCGUGCCUAAUACAUGCAAGUCGAGCGAACAGACGAGGAGCUUGCUUCUCUGACGUUAGCGGCGGACGGGUGAGUAACACGUGGAUAACCUACCUAUAAGACUGGGAUAACUUCGGGAAACCGGAGCUAAUACCGGAUAAUAUUUUGAACCGCAUGGUUCAAUAGUGAAAGACGGUUUUGCUGUCACUUAUAGAUGGAUCCGCGCGGCAUUAGCUAGUUGGUAAGGUAACGGCUUACCAAGGCAACGAUGCGUAGCCGACCUGAGAGGGUGAUCGGCCACACUGGAACUGAGACACGGUCCAGACUCCUACGGGAGGCAGCAGUAGGGAAUCUUCCGCAAUGGGCGAAAGCCUGACGGAGCAACGCCGCGUGAGUGAUGAAGGUCUUCGGAUCGUAAAACUCUGUUAUUAGGGAAGAACAAAUGUGUAAGUAACUGUGCACGUCUUGACGGUACCUAAUCAGAAAGCCACGGCUAACUACGUG